AGCAGCCGCGGUAAUUCCAGCUCCAAUAGCGUAUAUUAAAGUUGUUGCAGUUAAAAAGCUCGUAGUUGAAUUUCGGGAUUGGCGCAUCGGUCGUGCCUCACGGGGUAUGAACUGGUGCAGUCAAUUUCUCACCUUCUGGAGGACCGCGAUGUCCUUAAUUGGAUGCCGCGGGGAACCAGGACCUUUACUUUAGAAAAAUUAGAGUGUUUAAAGCAGGCAUUUUUGCUUGAAUACAUUAGCAUGGAAUAAUAAAAUAGGACGGCAUGGUUCUAUUUUGUUGGUUUCUAGGACCACCGUAAUGAUUAAUAGGGAUAGUUGGGGGCAUUAGUAUUCAAUUGUCAGAGGUGAAAUCCUUGGAUUUAUUGAAGACUAACUACUGCGAAAGCAUUUGCCAAGGAUGU
rnacentral:rRNA from 1 species